CAAACAGUGCUUAAGGAUGCCAGGAGAGGGUGACGUCUCUCCUCUGCUCUCUGCCAGGUGAGCGAGCGUGACUGGCGCAUGACCUUCCUGCCUCAAUUUGAAGCCUGCGUUCGAGCGGGAACCUUCAGCCUCAUGUGCAGCUACAACAGGAUUAACGGAGUCCCGGCAUGUGCUAACAAGAGGCUGCUGACAGAUAUUCUCCGUGGAGAAUGGGGUUUUCAGGGCUACGUGGUGAGCGACGAGGGAGCUAUAGAGUUGAUCAUGAUGGCGCACCAUUACACCCAGAGCAUCCUGGAGACAGCGGUUGGUGAGUUGCACCACGCAACAUGGAAUAUCGUUUUCAGUCCUAUCCUAGCAGCUUCCUGUAGCUGAGCCCGUAGCAUCACCUUAGGGCUGUAUGCAUUUGUCCCCUAUGCGGUACCUAGUUCAGAGCUAUUCUUAUCAGUAUCCUCUCAACCACAUAUAGAACGUAAAGCAGUGGUCCCCAACCUUGGCCCUCCAGAUGUUCUUGGACUUCAACUCCCAGAAAUCCUGGCCAGCAGAGGUGGUGGUGAAGGCUUCUGGGAGCUGUAGUCUAAGGACAUCUGGAGGGCGAAGGUUGGGGACCACUGACGUAAAGCUUGCUGUAGUUCUAAAAUCUGUGA
rnacentral:lncRNA from 1 species